AAAUCUCCACAGCUGUGUACAAUGAUGGGGUUUAAGCAUUUUCUUUUUGAACUUGUGUCCAGGUCAAUGUUCGUGCGUGUGGGGAAUGAUAGGGGUUUUUUAAGCAUUUUUGAUUUCCAUUUUUCAUCCAUUUAAAUGUCCACAGCUGUGGGAAACCCAGGGGUGGUGUCCAGGGCUGGCGCUGGCUUUUUUGCCGCCACAAGCAAAAAAAAAAGAGGAGGGCUCCGUGCCGCUCCGGUCGGCGGGGAGGGAAGGACGCGGGCUGCCCUGCCGAGUUUACUGCAGAGGGCUCCCCUCCUCUGCACCCGGCAGGGCGGCCAGAUCGGGGAACCAAAAAAAAAUACAAAAAACCACCCUGCCGUUCCGCCCUAGGGUCGGAUCUGUAGGAUCUGCCGCCCCAAGCACGAGCGUGCCCGGCUGGUGCCCGGAGCUGGCCCUGGCGGUGUCCCACAACGAUUAUGGAAUGGCAGCAGGCCCCGAGAUUCAGAGAGUUGGAGCUUUAUUCGAAGCUUUAAUUGUCGACAUCGCAUGUCAAAAUACACACAGUCAAUAGCCUUAAAUCAAACUGUGCUACCAUCUCAAACAGCGCGCCGCUCACUUUGCUGACCUGCAGGUGUCGAUUAUUAUCGAUGGAAUUAUUUUUUCAGUCAGGGGAGGGGUCGGCAGGCGUGUGCGGUGAAAUCGACGUUUACCGAUACAAAUCAAAUCCUUCCAAGCCAACGUAUAUAGGAAACGGUGGUGAUCUGUAGCCCCUUCGAGUGGCGCUAUCGUAUAACAGGGCCACAUGUCUGGUGUUGAAGCACCGCUCUCAAAGAUGACAUUUUAGCUGGAAUCAUUGCCAGGCGCAUGAUUAUACAGCCUGAAAUCAUGGGUUCAAGUCCCCCAUACUGCUGCACCCCCUGGAGAAGGUCAUUAUGUAAAGAGAUGGCCCAGUCUGUCAAUAAAACACCUACCGCUCAACCUCUGCCACAAGGGAGCAUUAAAAUGAAAAGAAAGUAAUGCAGAAAUAACUAGCUGUAGUGUAUUAUUUGAGCUAGUGAAUUAAGCACUAGACUGAGCCCCAGCCCACCUCACUGCCAUUCCUGCCUCUGGCACUGGCCUGCUGGCUGGCCUUGGGUGAGUCCCAUCACCGUUCUGUGCCUCAGUUUCCCUAUCUAUAAAACGGUGAUAACGAUACUUCUCUCCCUUUCUCAAGUGCUUCGGGAUCUACUCACGAACACUGCGACACAAGCGCUUGAUGUUAGCACCAUUUAGCCUAGCAGACAAGGUUCGAAAUUUGUAAAUGUUUCUCGUGAAAUAGUUGUGCAAGUCUCAAGAAGGGGCACUUUCUUUGACAUUUUGCGUGAGCGCUUUCAUUUGAAAAUUUGGGGUUAAAAAUUGUGGGAUUAAAAAUCCUUUUUUUUUUUCUUGUUUCCCCCAGUUUGUGGCUGAAAAAGGGGAGGGGGAUGGGACAGAAAUGGAGGAAGGGGACAUCAUUUUUUCCUAAGCAAUUUUUAUUACAAAAAUGGAAUUAUUUCAAAAAAAUUUACCAGUUUUUCCCCUUGCUUCCCACAAUUAUCGAUGGGACGACUCGUGGCAGUGAAGCAGCGCAAACCCGGAGGGCACCACGUGUGUGGCUUCUUCUACCACUGAGAGGCAGCAAGGCGUCAGCGCAAUGUUUUCGACAUCGCAACUCCCGUGUGUCGUCACGAUGGCCAGGAUGAGUACAAGGAGGCAGAGAAGCCAGCUGGUGCUUAUGCCGGCCUUAAGAAGCUUAAAAAGUGGUGAGGCCUACUGCGCUGUUCACUGGUAUGUCCCACAAUGCCUCGGACCGGGACAACUCAGCAUUUGGCAUAAGUGGGUCAGGAAACAGUCAAAGCAAGAUACAUUUGUCUGAUGUCCCAGCACAGCCAACGAUACGCACAACUGGCUUAAAAUGCAGUGUCCAGAACGGAGAUAAGGAAAGGAUCUUAGGAGGGGAGUCUGGGCUUUCUUGCUUGCUAGAAACCCUGCUACACAUAGAAGUGCUUUGGGGGGUGUAUUUUGAACCAGCCGUUUUGUGUAAGGUGAAUGGAAAACGCUGGGAGAAACAAGCAUCCCAGAGAGAUUGUGCGGUAUAAACUCCUUCCUUUCUGUAUUGGCUGAUCUUGUCUUCGACAAUAAAAGUGGCUGAGUUUGGUUAUUGGUCUAGGGAACAUUUUUCAUAACAAACCAGCCCUGUACUCGCUCCACUGGAUUUUUCCUCCUGAAAGGGAGUUUCUUUGGCUGACACCCUAGCAAAGGAAAGUUCAUUUGGGGAUGAACGCUGGCAGCUUUCUACCAGCUACAGAC